AGACGGAGGUGGCAAACGCUAUUCGGAAUCACUGGGCUUAAAGGGCGUGUAGGCGGCCGAUCAAGUCGGGUGUGAAAUCCCUCGGCUCAACCGAGGAACUGCAUUCGAUACUGGUUAGCUAGAGUGCGAGAGGGGUGAGUGGAACUCCAGGUGUAGCGGUGAAAUGCGUAGAUAUCUGGAGGAACGCCGGUGGCGAAAGCGACUCACUGGCUCGCAACUGACGCUGAGGCGCGAACGCGUGGGUAGCGAACAGGAUUAGAAACCCCGGUAGUCC
rnacentral:rRNA from 1 species